rnacentral:rRNA from 1 species
AACGAACGCUGGCGGCAUGCCUAACACAUGCAAGUCGAACGAGACCUUCGGGUCUAGUGGCGCACGGGUGCGUAACGCGUGGGAACCUGCCUUUAGGUUCGGAAUAACUCAGAGAAAUUUGAGCUAAUACCGGAUAAUGUCUUCGGACCAAAGAUUUAUCGCCUUUAGAUGGGCCCGCGUUGGAUUAGCUAGUUGGUGGGGUAAAGGCCUACCAAGGCGACGAUCCAUAGCUGGUCUGAGAGGAUGAUCAGCCACACUGGGACUGAGACACGGCCCAGACUCCUACGGGAGGCAGCAGUGGGAAUAUUGGACAAUGGGCGAAAGCCUGAUCCAGCAAUGCCGCGUGUGUGAAGAAGGUCUUCGGAUUGUAAAGCACUUUAAGUUGGGAGGAAGGGCAGUAAGUUAAUACCUUGCUGUUUUUGACGUUACCAACAGAAUAAGCACCGGCUAACUUCGUGCCAGCAGCCGCGGUAAUGUGACUACUG